AACCCCGGGAGGGGAGUGAAAGAGAACCUGAAACUGUGUGCUUACAAGUAGUCAGAGGACGUUAAAGUCUGAUGGCGUGCCUUUUGUAGAAUGAACCGGCGAGUUACGGUAUUUAGCAAGGUUAAGUCUAAAGGGACGGAGCCGAAGCGAAAGCGAGUCUUAAUAGGGCGGUAAGUUGAAUGCUGUAGACCCGAAACCCGGCGAGCUAGCCAUGAGCAGGUUGAAGUUUGAGUAAAAUCAAAUGGAGGACCGAACUAGGGCCUGUUGAAAAAGGCUUGGAUGACUUGUGGCUAGGGGUGAAAUUCCAAUCGAGCUGGGAUAUAGCUGGUUCUCCCCGAAAUAACUUUAGGGCUAGCGUUAAACAAGAGUUUUAUGAAGGUAGAGCACUGAAUAGUAGAUGGUCCCACCUCGGGAUACUGACAUUAAUCAAACUCCGAAUGUCAUAAAACGCGUUUAGCAGUCAGACUGCGAGUGAUAAGGUCCGUGGUCAAAAGGAAAAGAGUCCAGACCGCCAAAUAAGGUCCCAAAAUAUAUGCUAAGUGGAGAAGGAUGUAGAGAUGCCUAAACAACUAGGAUGUUGGCUUAGAAGCAGCCAUCAUUUAAAGAGUGCGUAAUAGCUCACUAGUCGAGUGACUCCGCGCCGAAAAUGUACCGGGGCUAAGCAUAUUACCGAAUUUGCGGAUUCGAUACGAAAGUAUUGAGUGGUAGGGGAGCGUUCCAUAUUGGGAAGAAGCAAGAUCGAGAGGACUUGUGGACUAUAUGGAAGUGAGAAUGCCGGUGUGAGUAACGAAAAGACAGGUGAGAAUCCUGUCCGUCAAAAACCCAAGGUUUCCAGGGGAAGGGUCGUCCGCCCUGGGUAAGUCUGGGCCUAAGGUGAGGCCGAGAGGCGUAGCUGAUGGAUAUCUGGUGUAUAUUCCAGAACUAGUAUAAUGACUGAUGGAGUGACGAAGAAGGCUAGGAUCCGAUUCUUAGUGGAUUGAAUACGAGAUAUCAAGAGGGGAUGUAGGCAAAUCCGCAUCUAGAAAUCAAGAUAUGACAGGUAAAGGAUAACGAAGUCAAGCUUCCAAGAAAAGCUUCUAGGGUUAAUCAUUAUACUACCAGUACCGUAAACCGACACAGGUGGGUAGGAAGAGAAUUCUAAGACGCGCGAGAAAACCCUUGUUAAGGAACUCUGCAAGUUGGCCCCGUAAGUUCGCAAUAAGGGGAGCUCAUGUAAAAGUGAGCCACAGAAAAGAAGCCCAAGCAACUGUUUAACAAAAACACAGGUUUAUGCAAAACCGUAAGGUGAAGUAUAUGAGCUGACACCUGCCCGGUGCUGGAAGGUUAAAAGGAGAGGUUAGAGCAAUCGAAGCCUUGAAUUGAAGCCCCAGUAAACGGCGGCCGUAACUAUAACGGUCCUAAGGUAGCGAAAUUCCUUGUCAGGUAAGUUCUGACCCGCACGAAAGGUGUAAUGUCUUUGGGCACUGUCUCAACAGGGGACUCGGUGAAAUCAAACUGCCGGUGAAAAUGCCGGCUACCCGCGAUUAGACGGAAAGACCCCAUGGAGCUUUACUGUAGGUUGAUAUUGAUAUUUGGUAUGUAAUGUACAGGAUAGGUGGGAGACUAUGAAGCUAGGACGUUAGUCUUGGUGGAGUCGACGUUGGGAUACCACCCUUUGCCUAUCGAGUAUCUAACUAGUGUAAGUGGAUUACAAAGGACAGUGUCAGUUGGGCAGUUUGACUGGGGCGGUCGCCUCCUAAAGAGUAACGGAGGCGCUCGAAGGUUCCCUCAGAAUGGUUGGAAAUCAUUCGCAGAGUGUAAACGCAGAAGGGAGCUUGACUGCAAGACAAACAAGUCGAGCAGGGACGAAAGUCGGAGUUAGUGAUCUUACGGUACCGCGUGGAAGGGCCGUGACUCAACGGAUAAAAGCUACCCUGG
rnacentral:rRNA from 1 species